rnacentral:misc_RNA from 1 species
UAUCCUGUGACUUAGAUGAGUUGGAGUCGGGCCACUGUUCUGGUACAAUGUCUGAUGCGUGAAUACGCUUUGUGCUGUAGUAAAGAAGGACAUCAAUCAACGUAUUGGCUUGGAGCCGGGCUACC